GGAGGAAUGCAUUAUGGAAAUGAUGGGUCCCCACAAAAAUAGUGAGACGCACUGUGUGUGUGUGUGUGUGUGUGUGUGUGUGUGUGUCUGU